CACACGUGUUACAAUGGGGGGUACGAGAGGGCCGCUACCACGCGAGUGGAUGCCAAUCCCUAAAACCCCUCUCAGUUCGGACUGGAGUCUGCAACCCGACUCCACGAAGCUGGAUUCGCUAGUAAUCGCGCAUCAGCCACGGCGCGGUGAAUACGUUCCCGGGCCUUGUACACACCGCCCGUCACACCAUGGAAGUUGGGGGCGCCCGAAGUUGCCUAAGAAAUAAGGUACCUAAGGCGAAACCAAUGACUGGGGUGAAGUCGUAACAAGGUACC
rnacentral:rRNA from 1 species